GACGAACGCUGGCGGCGUGCCUAAUACAUGCAAGUCGAGCGGACGGAUGGGAGCUUGCUCCCAGACCGUCAGCGGCGGACGGGUGAGUAACACGUGGGCAACCUGCCUGUAAGACUGGGAUAACUCCGGGAAACCGGGUCUAAUACCGGAUAACUCUUUCCCUCACAUGAGGGAAAGCUGAAAGAUGGCAUCUCGCUAUCACUUACAGAUGGGCCCGCGGCGCAUUAGCUAGUUGGUGAGGUAACGGCUCACCAAGGCGACGAUGCGUAGCCGACCUGAGAGGGUGAUCGGCCACACUGGGACUGAGACACGGCCCAGACUCCUACGGGAGGCAGCAGUAGGGAAUCUUCCGCAAUGGACGAAAGUCUGACGGAGCAACGCCGCGUGAGUGAUGAAGGUUUUCGGAUCGUAAAACUCUGUUGUCAGGGAAGAACAAGUACCGGAGUAACUGCCGGUACCUUGACGGUACCUGACCAGAAAGCCACGGCUAACUACGUG
rnacentral:rRNA from 1 species